UACAGAGGUCCCGAGCGUUGUUCGGAUUCAUUGGGCGUAAAGGGUGCGUAGGCGGCGCGGUAAGUCGGGUGUGAAAUCUCGGAGCUUAACUCCGAAACUGCAUUCGAUACUGCCGUGCUUGAGGACUGGAGAGGAGACUGGAAUUUACGGUGUAGCGGUGAAAUGCGUAGAUAUCGUAAGGAAGACCAGUGGCGAAGGCGGGUCUCUGGGCCGAUACUGACGCUGAGGAGCGAAAGCGUGGGGAGCGAACAGG
rnacentral:rRNA from 1 species